rfam:Drosophila busckii chromosome 3R sequence.
GUUUCCGUAGUGUAGUGGUUAUCACGUGUGCUUCACACGCACAAGGUCCCCGGUUCGAACCCGGGCGGGAACA